GGCAAGGUGCCCGAGUGGUCUAAGGGGUUCGACUCGAAAUCGAAUAUGUUCGCAUGCGCAGGUUCAAAUCCUGCCCUUGUCG